rnacentral:tRNA from 1 species
GAGGGUAUAGCUCAAGUAGUAGAGCAAUGCUUAGCAUGCAUGAGGUCCUGGGUUCAAUUCCCAUACCUCCU